rnacentral:misc_RNA from 1 species
GGCGAAUCAAACCGGCUCCUGAAAGAUGUAAAACCAGAUGGAUUCUUCUCUGUUGCUGAGAUGUGUUUGAACCAAAGAAAAUGCUAGACUUCUGGAUAUUGACUUCUUGACCUGAGGCUUCAGAAUAGUUUUUUAGGAUGUUCAUGAUAGCUUGAGCUUCGUUCACACUUGCUUUGCCAAAUAGAAGUGUAUCACCUUCAAAAAGUGUGAUAAACUACUGGACAUCAGUUACUGAAUAUGAAGCCUGAAUGUGGCUUGACCCCUCUGCCUCUUUGAGCAUAG